rnacentral:rRNA from 1 species
AGCAGCCGCGGUAAUUCCAGCUCCAAUAGCGUAUAUUAAAGUUGUUGCAGUUAAAAAGCUCGUAGUUGAAUUUCGGGAUCAAAGGAUCGGUCAUGCCUUGGUAUGUACUGGUUUUAUUGGUUCUCACCUUCUAAAGAACCAUAAUGUCAUUCAUUUGAUGUUAUGGGGAAUUAGGACUGUUACCUUGAAAAAUUAGAGUGUUUAAAGCAGGCUUACGCUUGAAUACAUUAGCAUGGAAUAAUGAAAUAGGACAUCAGAUUCUAUUUUGUUGGUUUCUAGGAUCGAUGUAAUGAUUAAUAGGGAUAGUUGGGGGCAUUAGUAUUCAAUUGUCAGAGGUGAAAUUCUUGGAUUUAUUGAAGACUAACUACUGCGAAAGCAUUUGCCAAGGAUGUUUUCAUUAAUCAAGAACGAAAGUUAGGGGAUCGAAGACGAUCAGAUACCGUCGUAGUCUUAACCAUAAAACUAUGCCGACUAGGGAUCGGAUGAUGUUAAUUUUAUAAUGACUCUA